rnacentral:rRNA from 1 species
GACGAACGCUGGCGGCGUGCCUAAUACAUGCAAGUUGAGCGCUGAAGGUUGGUACUUGUACCAACUGGAUGAGCAGCGAACGGGUGAGUAACGCGUGGGGAAUCUGCCUUUGAGCGGGGGACAACAUUUGGAAACGAAUGCUAAUACCGCAUAAAAACUUUAAACACAAGUUUUAAGUUUGAAAGAUGCAAUUGCAUCACUCAAAGAUGAUCCCGCGUUGUAUUAGCUAGUUGGUGAGGUAAAGGCUCACCAAGGCGAUGAUACAUAGCCGACCUGAGAGGGUGGUCGGCCACAUUGGGACUGAGACACGGCCCAAACUCCUACGGGAGGCAGCAGUAGGGAAUCUUCGGCAAUGGACGAAAGUCUGACCGAGCAACGCCGCGUGAGUGAAGAAGGUUUUCGGAUCGUAAAACUCUGUUGGUAGAGAAGAACGUUGGUGGGAGUGGAAAGCUCAUCAAGUGACGGUAACUACACAGAAAGGGACGGCUAACUACGUG